rnacentral:lncRNA from 1 species
GUUGGUUGAAAUGGAAUCCAUGAAAGGAAUGGUAGUGGGUUGUUGCAGAGUUUUAGAUAGGUUUCCCCAUCCUCUUCUGAAAAAAGAAAGCAAAAACAGAAUGGGAUCACUUUUUUCCCAGUGAAAUAGGAUUUGAAGAGCUUUCACGAUCAUUCACAUGAACUUCAGCAGGCAAGAAGGUAACUAGUGGAAGCUACCGUUUUGAGAAUGCAAGAUUGUGGCAUAUAUUAUUACUGAAGCUUGUAUACAGGGAAAGAGCUGGGCAUAAGCUUAUAAUAAAGAAAGUAUUUAUCAAUACUUUGGUUCUUCUACUGAACUAGUUUUAUUUUGAGCUUAUUCAUCUUUACUUAUGUUAGGCUUUUAUUUAAUGACUUGCUUCAUGUGGCUCUUUUAUUAUGGUGCACAUUUUUUAUUCCCCCUCUUGUAUUAGUGAUAAAUGAAUUGACUGAUAAAGGUUCUUGUUGUGUAGGUAAAAGGACUGUGCGAGAAAGCGAAGGAUAUUCUAGUGCAAGAGAGUAAUGUGCAGGUACGAUACCUUAUAUAGCUUUUUCUAAUUAUUAACGAAACUAAAAAGAACUUGAAUUUGUAUAUGACAUAUCAAUGGAUUCUUGUCUUCCUUCACGUGCUAGUCGUGUUUUGGCUACUCUCGGAAUUUUGAUUAUGGUGGGGGUCAUAAGAGAAGGAAAUGUGCGGUCGUAUAGAAUUGUUGAUUGAAUCUGUGACUUCAAUCAAAUUGAAUGUGAUAUCAUAUUCACUUUCGACCCAUUUUUGCUCCUUGGUCACUAGUUGACUUCCUAGUGCUCUCGAACUGUUAGGAGUGUAUUUACUUGCGAUUGUAUAAUCAAUCUUUUACUAAGUUGUAGUGGAUAAUCUAGUCUUUUUAUGGUGUUGUCAUUUCUCUUCAUUCAUGAGCUUGUAAUUGAAUAUGCUAAUUCCGUAAUAAUAGUUGGUUGAAAUGGAAUCCAUGAAAGGAAUGGUAGUGGGUUGUUGCAGAGUUUUAGAUAGGUUUCCCCAUCCUCUUCUGAAAAAAGAAAGCAAAAAUAGAAUGGGAUCACUUUUUUUCCAGUGAAAUAAGAUUUGAAGAGCUUUCACGAUCAUUCACAUGAACUUCAGCAGGCAAGAAGGUAACUAGUGGAAGCUACCAUUUUGAGAAUGCAAGAUUGUGGCAUAUAUUAUUACUUGUAUACAGGGAAAGAGCUGGGCAUAAGCUUAUAACAAAGAAAGUAUUUAUCAAUACUUUGGUUCUUCUACUGAACUAGUUUUAUUUUGAGCUUGUUCUUCUUCACUUAUGUUAAGCUUUUAUUUAAUGACUUGCUUCAUGUGGCUCUUUUAUUAUGGUGCACAUUUUUUAUUCCCCCUCUUGUAUUAGUGAUAAAUGAAUUGGCUGAUAAAGGUGCUUGUUGUGUAGGUAAAAGGACUAUGCGAGAAAGCGAAGGAUAUUCUAGUGCAAGAGAGUAAUGUGCAGGUACGAUACCUUAAAUAGCUUUUUCUAAUUAUUAACGAAACUAAAAUUAGAAUUUGGAGGCAUGUAGUCCUGAUCUAUACUUGCUUGUUAGAUGGCCAUUAGAGCCCUAUAUAUGGGGUGUGUAUUUCAGAUUCUGGUUGAACCUUUCUGCCAUUUUUUUGGGACGAUGUGUGUUAAACAAUACCUCAACCCUCUAUUUUUGCUUUGGUUAACAAAAUGCGAAACUGAUUUGCUGUCUAGGAGUUCUGGAAGGACGACAUGUAUUCUGAAAAUUCAUUUAUAAGCAUCUUGAGGUGUAUAUUGUGUAAUUGCACUUCCCUUUUUGUUUGGUAAUUAGCUGAUGAAAUGUAUGCCGCCUGAAAAUUCACCUCUCAUAGCUUAUUUUGACUUGAAUGAAUCAAACAUGAGUGUAAUGCAAUCCCAACCAAAAUUUAAAUAAUAAUAUCUGUAUAUUUUUAAGUGGAGAGGGGUGGGGUGGGGGGGUUUGAAUGCUUAAGCUCUACACAUUUCUUUAAGAUAAUGUAUGGUGUUUCUUUAUGAUUUUUGUAAUAGAAUAGAAGUAGAUAUCUUAUUCCAAUAGAUAAGCAAGAUAUAAAUACAAUAUACUAGGUGCUAAUUUAGGAAAUAAAAUAAAGAGGGAUUCCUACAAAUCUGCUAGCUAAUUAUGAGGGAUUCCUACAGAUCUACUAGCUAAAAAUAUGCCUAUGUAUACUACUAAAAUGAUGUCUAUAUACAUUUUGUAACACUCUCCCUCAAGUUGGAACAUAGAUAUUAACCAUGCCCAACUUGUUGCAAAGGUAAUCGACUGGAGUUCCAUUUACCUCUUUUGUAAGCAAAUCGGCUAGUUGCUCUCCUGUCUUCACGUAGCUAGUGGAGAUCAAGAUUUCUUGAAUCUUCUCACUAAUGAAGUGACAGUCAACUUCAAUAUGUUUAGUUCUUUCAUGAUACACUGGGUUUGAGGUAAUAUGAAGAGCAACUUGAUUAUCACACCAGCAUUUUGCCGGCAUAUGAUGCUUCAACCCUAUUUCAGUUAAAAGAUGAUGUAUCCACAUAAUUUCACAUGUAUACUGUGGCAUAUGAUGCUUCAACCCUAUUUCAAUUAAAAGAUGAUGUAUCCACAUAAUUUCACAUGUAGACUGUGACAUAACUCUGUACUCAGAUUCUGCAGUGGAUCGAGAUACAACACUUUGCUUCUUACUCCUUCAUGCUACCAAGUUUCCUCCAACAAAGAUACAAUAACAUGUAGUGGAUCUUCUAUUAAUCUUGGAACCAGCCCAAUCAGCAUCUGCAAAACACUCAAUGAGUAUGGUUGUGAUUGCUAUACAAUAUGCCAAGUCCAGGAGCUCCUUUCAAGUAACAUACUGUUCUAAAGCUGCCCAAUGCUCGACCGUAGGUGUAGACAUGAAUUGACUUACAACACUUACUUCGAAGGCAAUAUCAGGACGAGUCACUGUGAGGUAGUUUAACUUCCCAACUAUCCUUCUAUACCUCUCUGGAUUAUCAGAAGGGUCGCCAUCUUUCAUGAGAUGCACAUUGGGAACCAUUGGAGUACUGCAAGGUUUGGCUACCAAUUUUCCAGUUUUUGCAAGUAGGUCAAGAACAUACUUUCUCUGAGAUAGAAGAAUUCCCUUCUUGCUUCUAUUUACUUCUACUCCCAAAAAAUAUUUCAAUUGUCCCAAGUCCUUCGUAUGAAACUUAGUAUGUAAGAAAGACUUAAGGGAAGAGAUCCCCUCAGAAUCACCUCAUGUGAUGAUAAUGUCAUCAACAUAUACAACAAGAAGGAUAGUGCCAACUUUAGAUUGUCGGUAGAAGACAGAGUGAUCACAUUUGCUCAUUUUCAGUCCAGACUCUAGUCCACCCAUAAGUCUGACAAGCCUGGCAUUAAGUCUUGCCACGGAACCAUUUGGCAUACACCCACUUACAUCCUACUGGUUUCUUCCCAAUGGGUAAAUCCACUAAAUCCCAUGUGUGAUUUUCCUCUAAUGCAUGUAUUUCCUCAAGCAUCACAUUUGACCAUCAAGGAUGAUGCAAAGCCUCCUUCACUGUUUUGGGUACAGAAACAGAGUCUAGAGAAGCAAUCAAGGAUCUAGAUGUAGGAGAUAAGCGAUCAUAGGAAACAAAGUUAGCAAUAGAAUAUGUGGAUUUGCAAGUCCUUGUACCUUUACGAAGAGCAAUAGGGAGGUCAAGUUGUUCUGGAGGAUCAAAUGGAGGACUUGGUGCAGGACAUGUAUCAUCAGUCUCUCGUCUCCUUGAAUAAACUUGAACAAUUGGUGGUGUUGCUGGAACAUGUAUUGGUGGCACAGUAGUCGAGUGGUGCUCAAUAGAGUCAUUAGGAGAUGGAAGAAUAGCAUCACUUGAUUCCAUAACACGAGUAACAUGAUAAACUAACCACUCAUCUUCCUCCCCUUGACUUGUAAUUUUAGGAAGAGAAUAGAAAAAUGGUGUAAUCUCUGAAAAUACCAUAUCAUUCGACACCAGAUAUUUGCCAAGUUCAGUAGAAUAACAUCGAUACCCCUUUUGAAGACGAGAAUAACCCAAGAAAACACACUUCAAUGCCUUAGGGUCCAACAUAGUAACAGAUGGACGUACAUCUUGAACAUAACAUGUACUUCAAAAUACGUUUGGUUCCAUCGGAAAUAAAGACUUGUUUGGAAAAAGAACACUGUAAGGCAUAUUACCAACAAGCACUGUUGAUGUCAUGCGAUUAAUCAGAAAACAAGCCGUAGAGACUGCAUCGGCCCAAAAUUGUUUAGGAACUUUCAUUUGGAACAAAAGUGCUCGGUCUGUCUCAACUAGAUGUCUAAUCUUCCUCUCAGCAACUCCAUUUUGAGAAAGUGUAUGUUAGAAGAUGACUGAUGGAGGAUACCGUGUUGUCUCAUGUAGGAUUGAAACAACUCUGACAUGUAUUCUUUUGCAUUAUCACUCCUUAAAAUAUGCACAGAAGCAUUGAAUUGAGUUUUGACUUCAGCAUAAAAGGCACAAAAGUGAGUAAACACUUCAGAGCGACUUUUCAUAAAAUAAAUCCAAGUCAUCCAAGAGAAAUCAUCCACAACAGUGACAAAAUAUUUAUGUCCAGUUUUGGAAACAACCGGACAUGGUCCCCAAACAUCAGAAUGAAUUAACUCAAAAGCUGAUUCAACUCGUUUAUUAACCCUUGGACCUAAUGUGAUGCGACGAUGUUUUGCAAAUCGGCAUGAUUCACUCCAAAGAAGGAACAUUUUGAAACUGGGGACAUAACUUCUUUUAAUAAAGGUAAAGAAGGGUGUCCUAAUCGACAAUGUGCUUCAAAUGGAGACAAGACACUUGAGCAUGCAACAAAUCGAGACUCAUAUUCAUCAAGGAUAUAUAGACCAUCAAUUACAUGUCCUUUACCAAUAACCUUAUGCGUCGCAAGAUCACGAAACAAGCAAUGAUUAGGAAAGAACGAAACAUAACAAUUAAGAUCUCUAGUAAGUUUACUCACAGAAAUCAAAUUGAAGGCCAACUUCGGUAGAUUUAAUACAGAGGACAAGGUAAUAGAGGAGGUUGUUUUGACGGUUCCAUNNNNNNNNNNNNNNNNNNNNNNNNNNNNNNNNNNNNNNNNNNNNNNNNNNNNNNNNNNNNNNNNNNNNNNNNNNNNNNNNNNNNNNNNNNNNNNNCAUGUGAUCUGUAGCACCUGAAUCAAUCACCCAGUUGUUCGAAGAUGAGGCCAUAUUCUUGAUACCGAGAGAACUCUGCAAACUGAUCUGCCAAAACCAAAAUUGUCCCUAAAUUGUCUUAUCCUUGUGAUUAGUAGCCAUAUUUCCUCCUUUCUAAUUGUUUGAGUUAUAUUUUCUAACUUAAAUAUCCAAAUAGCAAUACAGGAGAAUCCAACAAACACAAACAGCAAAUACAAUCCAAUACCAAUAAAAUAAUUAUAGUCGAGGCUCAAACUUCAAGAACAAAGAAGAUGAGAGAGAACAAAGGAACAAAAAAUCAAGAACAAGCAUCCAGAAAACACUAUUCAUUCAAUGUUUAACAGUAUUCAACAAUCGCAGCAGCACCAAACAGAAUACCAGAUCUGAAUCGCAGAAGCUAUAGCGAAAUAUGAACCUGGAAGUAACUUUCAAAAAAAUAUGAACCUGGAAGGUGAAAGUGUUCUCCAAACAGUGUUUCAACACCAAACAAAACUGGGGGUACACCAGAAAGUAUGAUCUGCCUCCUACUGUGGCAGUGACACAAAUUGGCCACUUUGAAAGUGAUCGAUUUGAAAUCUGAGUUUGUUUCUGUAAGACAGCAAAACGAGAUUGAGUUGCCUUUCGAAACAGAGAGAGAACAUGAUCAAGGAGCCUAUAGGCUCUGAUACCAUGUAAUCGAAUAGAAGUAGAUAUCUUAUUCCAAUAGUUGCAAGAUAUAAAUACAAUAUACUCUGUGCUAAUUUAGGAAAGAAAAUAAAGAGGGAUUCCUACAAAUCUGCUAGCUAAUUAUGAGGGAUUCCUACAGAUCUACUAGCUAAAAAUAUGCCUAUGUAUACUACUAAAAUGAUGUCUAUAUACAUUUUGUAACAAUUUUUAUUUCUGUCACUUCAGAGUGGCUACAUUAAUUGGUCAUUUUGAGAAAUUUUUGCAUCUUCAAGGCUAGCUGUUCUACUGUAUACUUCAUUCAUUAGAAAGCUGAAAAUUUUCCAAUAUACUUGUAUACUUGGAGCAAAUCAAUGAAGAUUCUGGUAAAUAAAUUGGUUAAUUUUUCUAUUUAUGCUUCUCUAAAGCUUAUGCUUUAGUCAAGAGAUUCAUAGAGUUGGUUGGAACAUCAACUCAAUCAAAACUCUCUUUCUGUUUAAGCCAAGACUAUUGAUUUUAACUUAAGGUCUGUGAUAUAAGUUCUCUGUGGAUGCAGUUAUGUAGGAAGUUGAAAAUGUUGGCUUUCUUUUUCAUAGACUUUGAUGUAUGAAUGAUAAGUCCUAUUAUUUGAAAUGAGUUAAGGAAGAAGGGAGACCAGAGAUAAGAUAUACGAAAUUCUUUGGGUAUAACAGAUUAAAGGAAUGACUUGAGAUAACUUGUAUAUACUUUUGUCUGAGAAUUUGCAUGGCUUCUCUGCUCAUAAGCUAAUUUAUUAGAUAUAUGUGAGCUUUUCUAUUUCAUGAAUCUGUGUAUAUUCCCUCUCCCGUUUAGACUUCUCUUUGAGUUCAUGCUUUUUGAUGUUCAGUUUAAGUGCUUCAGUAACAUCAGAACAUUGGAAUAUUUGUUUAAUUGUGAUAGGUGUUAAGGUUGAAACGGGGAACUAACUCGAUUUUUCUGUUGUCUCCUUCAUUUUCAGUUCUAAAUCCUGAUAAAUUGACUGAAUUUAUGCUGCUAGAUCAAGCACCAGUUAGCCACAAUACUCAUCUAUUCAGGUUAUUUUUUUCUUUCUUUGUUAUUUUAUAAUUAUGGCGUUUACACUUUGAUAGUGACACAUAUUCCAGGUGGAUUUUGCUCUCCCGUUAAAUGUUUUCUCUAAACAGCUCUAGCUCACAUCUUACUGAUUUAUAGAGGAACAGUAGUAUGGCUCUAGCACUAUCAUUUAUCUUUAAACUGUCGAAAAGCCUGGAUCUAGAAGAAUUAGUUUCAGUAUCAUGCUUCAUAUUAUAGCACAUUCAAUUAUUAAAGAAACUGGAAUUAGAAUUGGGAAGCAUGUAGUCUUGAUCUAUCCUUGCUUGUUUGAUGGCCAUUAAAGCCUUAUAUAUGGGGUGUGUAUUUUAGAUUCUGGUUGAAACUUUCUGCCAUUUUUUUGGGGACAAUGUGUGUGAAACAAUACCUCAACCCUCUAUUUUGCUUAGGUUAAGUAAAUGCGAAACUGAGUUGCUGUGUAGGAGUUCUGGAAGAACGUGCAUUCUGGAAAUUCAUUUAUAAGCAUCUUGAAGUGAAUAUUUUGUGUAAUUGCACUUCCUUUUUUUGUUUGCUAAAUAGCUUAUGUAAAUGCAUACCGCCUGAAAAUUCACCUCUAGUAGCAGUAUUUUAUAUAUAUAGAUUAAAGCUAUCCAAAAAGAUGGGUUCUCUUAUCUCCUGAUGUUCUAUUUGACUUUAAUGAACCAAACGUGAGUGUAAUGUAAUCCCCACAAAAAUUUAAUAUUAAAAUCUGUCUAUUUUUCAAGGGGGUGGGGGAAGUUUCCGAUGCUUCAGCUCUACAUUUCUAUUUCAUAUUGAUAGACCAAACUUUCCCGGAAUCAUGAGCUGCCACUACUUUAUACUACAUUUUUACACUACCCAUAUAUGUUUUUAAGUUCCUUUUUUUUCCUAUUAUUUUUUCUUUAUAGGGUGAUAUCCUUUAGAACCUUAAGAUAUCCUGGUUGCUGAUAAACUUUUAGCGCUCUUCAAUUCCAUGAAGUUUGUAAGUCUCUUCCUUUUUCUGCAAAUUUGCCUUUCCAGCAUAUAAUUGGAGUACAUACUGACAUCAUGUUCACUGAUACAACAUUUGCAGACAUGUUUAAGUGAGGGAAUGGGCUACUAUUUUCCACCAUGCCACAUAGUUAAUAUAAGUGGUUUUCGGGUGUUACUGCCCUUUGGACCU